CUAGUAAACCCCAUAGUCUCUGCCCAAAAGUUCCUAGACCUGACAAACAACUUCAGCAAAGUUUCAAGAUACAAAAUCAAUGCACAAAAAUCAGUAGCAUUUCUACACG